GCAUAUCAAUAAGCGGAGGAAAAGAAACCAACAGGGAUUGCCCUAGUAACGGCGAGUGAAGCGGCAACAGCUCAAAUUUGAAAUCUGGCCCUCGUGGUCCGAAUUGUAAUUUGUAGAGGAUGCUUUUGGUGUGGUGCCUUCUGAGUUCCCUGGAACGGGACGCCAGAGAGGGUGAGAGCCCCGUACGGUUGGACACCUAUCCUAUAUAUAGCUCCUUCGACGAGUCGAGUAGUUUGGGAAUGCUGCUCUAAAUGGGAGGUAAAUUUCUUCUAAAGCUAAAUACCGGCCAGAGACCGAUAGCGCACAAGUAGAGUGAUCGAAAGAUGAAAAGCACUUUGAAAAGAGGGUUAAAUAGCACGUGAAAUUGUUGAAAGGGAAGCGUUUGCGACCAGACCUUUUCCUGGCGGAUCAUCCGGUGUUCUCACCGGUGCACUUCGCUUGGUUUAGGCCAGCAUCGGUUUUCUUAGGGGGAUAAAGGCCUGGGGCACGUAGCUCUUCCGGGAGUGUUAUAGCCCCUAGCGUAAUGCCCUUACGGGGACCGAGGACCGCGCUUCGGCAAGGAUGCUGGCGUAAUGGUCGUCAACGACCCGUCUUGAAACACGGACCAAGGAGUCGAACAUUUGUGCGAGUGUUUGGGUGUUAAACCCUCACGCGUAAUGAAAGUGAACGGAGGUGAGAGCCCUUCGGGGUGCAUCAUCGACCGAUCCUGAUGUCUUCGGAUGGAUUUGAGUAAGAGCAUAACUGUUCGGACCCGAAAGAUGGUGAACUAUGCGUGGAUAGGGUGAAGCCAGAGGAAACUCUGGUGGAGGCUCGCAGCGGUUCUGACGUGCAAAUCGAUCGUCAAAUCUGCGCAUGGGGGCGAAAGACUAUCGAACCAUCUAAUAGCUGGUUACCUCCAAGU
rnacentral:rRNA from 1 species